AUUACCGCGGCUGCUGGCACGUAGUUAGCCGUGGCUUUCUGGUUAGGUACCGUCAAGGUGCCAGCUUAUUCAACUAGCACUUGUUCUUCCCUAACAACAGAGUUUUACGACCCGAAAGCCUUCAUCACUCACGCGGCGUUGCUCCGUCAGACUUUCGUCCAUUGCGGAAGAUUCCCUACUGCUGCCUCCCGUAGG
rnacentral:rRNA from 1 species